GCAUCUCAUUUCUCUAACAUUUCACAUCUUUCUCCUCAAAGCCUCUCUUCUCAGAUCUAGUUGCUGGUGCUUCUGAUACGUCCAAAUAAACGUCAGAUCCUUCCUGUUCGGUCUCCGAUCUACGUUUCGCCUAUGACUUUAUGGUGUUUCACGCCGGCGAUUUUGAGUUUUUCCGGUCAGAUGUGUCGCCAGAAAGCUUGGUCUCCGGAGAUAAGUUGAGGAUGUACAGAUUGAUGAGAUCUGACGAUUGAUGACCAUACAAGCCCAGGCGUUGACCGAGGGAGAGAUAUUGGAAAGCUUUUUGUGCCUGUUUGGUUGGAACUCUUUGCCAGAGACUGAAUCUUUAGAAAAGGCUGAGAGCGCUGAUUCGGAGGCGAUGAAGAUGAUUAAAAUUGGUAUAUGCUCAUGUUAAUUUGUUGUUAUCAUAAAAAGAUAAGUCUAUGUACUAGUUGAGAGAGAAAAGUAGAGGGGAGAUAAUUAUAUUGUUGUGUGUGUUGAUAAUAGUGUUCGAGUCUGGCCUUUGCCAUGUCAGGUGCGCUUGCUUGGCAGGUCAAAAGUAUAUACCUAAUAAAAAUAUAGUCUUUUUU